rnacentral:RNase_P_RNA from 2 species
AAAAUAGGUUAAGCGUGAGCCUUGAACCCAGAAAGUGAGGGGAGGAAAGUCCGAGCACCACUCUUAGUUCGAACAGUUCCUAACAGGAACCAAGAGUAAUCUUAGGGAAAGUGCCACAGAGACAAUACUAACCAUGAUAAGGUAACCCUUCGGCUGAUUUGCUUUGCAAAUUUGCUCAGGGUGACCACUUCGUGGCCAAAGGUGAAAAGUUAUAAGAAGUGAUAUGCGGAGAGUUAGGCCAAACCUGAUAAUCCGCGCUUGCUACUUGUAAGGCCUCCGCGUGAGCGGAGUGUCCCGGUAAACCCUGUUCGGUGCAAGUUGGGUGGGUCAGGAUCUAUCAAUAUUUUGAGCUAAGAAUAGAUAGAUUCGGAUCCCAACGCAUGAAUCAGUUGGCAACAACUGAUCUAGAUAGAUGAUUGCCCCCCUCACUAAUUUCCGUGCGGAAUAAUUAACAGGUUUGUAGU